UGUUUUCCUGCUAUCCCUGCCCCACAUACAAGUCCCAGUUGUCUUUCAGCUUCUGAUUGACUGAACACACCUGAUCCAGGUAAUCAGUAGUGGAGGACCGAGUUUGAGAACCACUGCUUUAGGCAGGCAGUGCUACAAAGUUCUGGCGACGAGGGCUGCUGGACUGGGCGAGGAGUUCAGAGAUUCAGAGGGACCUCAAGACAGAGUCACAGCAGAGGUGGUCUGAUGCCACCUACACAGCUCCCAUGGGAGAUGUUUUGGGCAUGUUCCACUGAGGCAGACCCAGGACAUGAUGGAGGAAUUAUAUCUCCCAGUUGACUUGGAAACAUCUGAGGAUCCUUCAGAAAAGGCUACAGUCUGUGACCAUGGAGCAAGAGGUCUGCUCUGAGCUGCUCGGCUUGCUGCCACCCUCAACCACCCAAGCGGUGGGAAGACAAGACAAGAUCACUCUGGUGAGCAAAGCAGAGUCUACAUCAGAGACAAGCUCCUGUGGUUGUAAAAGAAAGAAAACCCUCGUCCACAGCUUCGCAGAACAUUAAUAUAUUAACACUACCUUUCACAUCAAAACACAACAUCCUACACUGAUUUGGCUUUGGUAUUACAUUACGGCUCUAUGGUCAUGGGUUGGUCCUCAGUGCCUCAUAAUGAUUAAUGUGCCCAUAUGUUAAAUGCAUUGAAGGAUCCGUACAUGUCAAAGGUAGAAUGAAAACUGCCUGGUCUCUCACCUGGGUGUAGUCGAAGUCAGAAUGGCGAGCUAUACUUCUGAUGUAGUCAACUCUGAACUGGUUUCCUUGGUUGGCUAGUAGAACUGGGGGUAUUAAAGUGCUCAUCGCUGAUACUAUAGUCUGGAAAAAAAGAUGAAAAUUGUUAAGCGAUGUAUCAACACCGAGUCAGAAUCUAUUCUCCUGUGAUUUGUAAUUCAGCAAAUAUGUAAGCAUAGGAAACUGGGAACGCUUCCACAGGAAAUUUCCAAAGGAACCCACCACUAUGGCAUCCUUCACAUUCCUCCGAAUGUCCUGGAUUUUCUGUUUCUUUUCCCUACAUGAAAAAGUAAUCGGAUUAUUUGUAAAAACAAAUGACAAGAGAAUCUCAAAAAGCUGCAAAAAAAUGCAGAUAUCUUAAACCGGGGAACUCUUAAACAGGUUGAAGCCCAUUUUACCACCAUGCAAAGCCAAUAAAACUCUGGCUCUGAAGUCGAGAUCUGAAAGAUGUGGGUCUGAAAUAGCAGCUCAGCUUCAGCUCUCAGCACUGCAGGGCUUACCCUGUGCCUGAGAUUAGGGAACUUGCCCGGCACCAGAAUCAUUGGGGAAGAACAAAAAAAAAAAGCAGAAAAAG